rnacentral:lncRNA from 1 species
CGUUUGGUGUGAGGUAUAACGGAUAAGUAGGUCCGAGAUAAAAUGAAGGAUUAUUUUGUUUCAUGUUUGGUUGAAGGUAUUAGUUAGUAUCGAGAUUAUUUAUUCCAUCAUUUACACCAUAAUGAUUAGAUAAAUUAUCCCAUAUACAUGGUGGGAUAUAUAAUUAAUCCGAAAUAAUCCCGGAAUAACUAAUUCCGAAAGUGAUUAACCCGGGAUAACUAUUUCCCAACCAAACUACCUCUAAUAGUUUUAUAAGUAACACUCCACUUUAUAUUAAUUGUCUCCUUGCAAUAUAUAUAUAUAUAAGUCAUCAAUGGUUGUGAUCCAUUUGUGUGGAAUGGUUUGGCUUGAGCCUUGACACAUACCAUGUCUACUGCUGCAAGAACUUACAAGGUUAGAGGGGGAAAUUGACCUGAUCUCAAACUUAACCAUAAGACAAUAACCAAAAGAUUACAUAAAGGAUUAUUUAGCCUAUAAAAAUCCUUUCAUAAAAAAAAAGAAAACGAUAACUUCAACCAACAAGAGAAGUUACUCUUAUCAUCUCUCUUCCUCAUAGAGGAAAUUAAAGUUGCCAUUUGUCUAGUUGAAUCAAGCCUUUAGCCUCUCUAGCCAAUUGUUGAUGAGAUGCAUAAAAGAUUUUGUCUCCACCAGACGAUGCUAAUUUAGCCCCUUCAAUAUUAUGCUCUACCCACGUACUAGCUACUAGUUAUAUACACUUAUAUUUAGGUUGGUAUAUGGGUAUCGAUCCUAAGCUGGGGUUCUAUCGGAAACCUCUCUACUUCUCCUGAGGUAGUGGUAUGGUCUGCGUAUACUCUACCCUCCCCAGACCCUACUAGGUGGGAAUACACUGGGUAUGUUAUUGUUGUACCACGUACUAGCUACCCUCUUCUUCUAUAUAUAAACUAUAAAUCAAAAACGUUAUACUUUAUUACUGAAUAUUUCAUCACGCGUUUAAUGGGAGCCAGUCUAUGAAGUGAGCAUCCUGAUGCCAUUGAACAGACAUGACCAAGAUUUGCCAUUUAUUAAACUAGUAGAAAAUUUUAUAAUAUGAGUAGAAUGAAAAGAAUGAAGAUUGAAGAUAUACUGUGUCAAGCCUCUUUAUGACAAUUAUGAUUACUCAUCACACACUAUGUAAACUAUUGAUGCAAAGUAAUUCGUUCAUUCUUCCGGUAUGUAGCCAAACUGCCAAAGACUAUAUAUAUAUUAAUUCUUACAAAACUUUCUUAACGAAUAAUUAUUAGAUCAGAACUGGAAGAAACGAGUUACUCGUUUUAGAUCAGAAAAUAAAAUAAUUAUUACUCCAUUCUUUAAUUAUCUUUCUUUUUUCCAGAGAUAAAUCAUCAUUCAUAUUUCAUCAUCAAAGCAGCUUUUACUGAGAAAUCAUAAAAUUCAGUGAAGAGAAGUCAGGUAUAGGAACUCGUGCUGGACUAUUGAAUGCCUAUGAACUAUGAACGUCAAAUUAAUUUCCUAAAAAAUUUCCGUACCGCUCAAGAAAGGAAGAGUAGAUUGUCACAUCUAUGUCUGCCUAAUUAGAACAAAUGUCUUCCAAUAAAAUCACACUAAAGUAAAAUACUCUCUCUCUCGUUUCAUUUUUACGUGUGGUGUUUUCCUUCAUAAAAGUUAAAUCAACUAUUCUUUUCGUUUUAAAAAAAGAAUGACCUACUUUGACUUGACACAAAAUUUAAGAAAAUAAAGAUGUCAUUUGAAUCUCAUGGCCUUAAAUUAAAAUUGUGUCAAAUGUCCUUUAAUCUUGUGGUCCUAAACAUGCCAUGUGGAAAGUUGAAAUUAAAGUAUUGUCAAAAAAAGAAAAGGGGUCAUUUUUUUUUAAACGGAUUAAAAAAAAAAAUAGGAGGGAGUAAUUUUUUCGAGUUAAAUUAAAUUAAAUUAAUUUAAUAUGAUAAAUUUAAAAUUCAGAUAUUAAAAAAUUAUAAUCAUUCUGAAAAUAUGUACAUAUUAAAUGUAAGUUAAAUUUCAUGAAGUCGACUCUCAUUGUAAAAUUGAUCAGAGAAAGUAGUAAAAAGAGUUGCAAAACAAUAAAAUAAAAUACAUGUCUUCUUUAAUAGUAGCUCCCCUCUGAUCUUCUUAAACUUUUGUGUUCAAUGAAAUAUAUCAUCAGUAUACAACUUGGAUUAGUAUAAAUAAUUGCGAGUGAUAUCAUCAUAUGAAUAGAUGAUGUAUGACGAAUAUUUGCCACCACAAGAUUGUGACAUGCAUGCAAGAUAUCGUUUGUACCAAACCAAAUACACACGACAUAUAUCAUAAAAGCAUCGUGAGUAUGGCAGGCUCACCUUCAUGAACCCUCUUUCUCACACACACACACACAGUCGUAAAUAUGCAACCACUAUUGACAUUGAAUUACUCAAGCGAGCGUAGGCAUACUUCUAAAAUUAUUUUUAAAUGUUUGUCGCACUUGUUCAAAAUAGAUAUUCUAUAAUAUUUGUUAUUAGAAAAUCAUGAAAUAAUUAGUUAUUUUUUCAUCUUUAUUCUUAAUUACAAAUAUGGAUAAAUAUAUUAAUAUAGUGUAAAAAGAGAAGUAUAUAUUAAAUAAAUACGAGUAAUAAAUAAAGAUAAUUAAACCAAAUUACCUUCUAGUAAUGCUUUUCUUAACUUAAAAAGGUGACAAGUAAAUAGAAAUAGAGGGAGUACUCCAUCCAAUCAUAUUUUGCGUGGCACCCUUUCAAAGGUGAAAGCUAGUUACCUUGGAGCCAGGAGGUUCAUUCAAACCCUCUUGUAGGAAAAUUAUAUUAUUAAUUUAUACAUGAUUGGAAUUAUUCUUUUAUAUAUAUAUAUAGUAGAUGUCGAACCCCUUCAACUAGUUCGUGCUUCCACCUCUGCACCUUUGAUUUGAUUUAGUGUUUAAGGAAAAAUGAAAGAGUUUUAAAAUUUGGUGUGUAAAAUAAUCCUUAAUUAUUUGUGUACAACAUAUCAUUUCAUUAAGAAUAAAUUAAAGAGAAAUUUAAAGCUAAAUUAUUUCUAAUCAUAAUAAGAUAACAUUUUUUAUGAGAUAAACUAAAAAGAAAUGGGUGUUGUAUAAAUGAAUUGUUGGAUUUUGGCACACAAGUUAAGGAAAAAACAUUAAAGACAUAAAUUUAACAUAAAAUUUCAUUUUUACUCCAAAAAAAAGAAAAAGCUUACCUUGUAAUACCCUUUCAAAAGUUAAUUGACUAUCAAAUCAUAAGGGUAAAUUUGAAAAAAAAUUCAAUGAUUCACUUAUUUUGAAACACCAAUAAAUAUCCCAACAAUUCAUUUAUUCCGAAACGGAGGGAGUAAUAAACAACAUAAAUUAUUUUUAAGAUUUAAUUUCACACUUUAAAGAGGAAUACCUUUAGAUAUCAUUUAAAUAUAAUGUGAUAUUGUAGAAACAUUAUUUAUAUUGACAAUAUUUUCUAAAUAACUCUGAGACUCAACAACAACAACAACAAACCCAGUGUAUUCCCACCUAGUGGGGGCUGGGGGGUAAGAUGUACGCAGUCCAUACCUCUACCUCUAAAGAAGUAGAAAGACUAUUUCCGAUAGACCCCCGGCUCAAGUCACGAGAUACCACACAAACUCAUAGUAAAGCACAGAACUAGAUUACAUAACAUAAAUAUGACACCCAUAAGUAUUAGAACACAGAGGAAAGCACACACUAGCGACCCAAACCGGCCCUAGUCUUCUGCCCUAAUUCGCGUCCUCCAGACCUUCCUAUCUAGGGUCAUGUCCUCGGUGAGCUGUAACUACUCCAUGUCCCGUCUAAUCACCUCACCCCAGUACUUCUUCGGCCUACCCCUACCCCGCCUAAAACCAUCCAACGCUAGCCUCUCACACCUACGAACCGGGGCAUCCAUGCCCCUCCUCUUCACAUGUCCGAACCAUCUCAAUCGGGCUUCCCGCAUCUUGCACUCCACUGGAGUCACACCAACCUUCUCCCGGAUAGUCUCAUUCCGAACUCUAACCCCUCUAGUCAGCCCACACAUCCAGCGCAACUUUGAGACUGAAUGAUGGAAAUAAAGAAAAAAGAACAUGAUGUAAAGCACUGAAACAUGAACGUCCUUGCGCUGCAGUUCAGUAAAACGUUUACUGAGGUUUAAGGUACAUAUAAUUAGCGAAGGUUAGGAUGUUCAAAUAUGUGGAUAUAUUAAGAGAGGUAUAAUUAAGAAUGAAGUUAUAUGAGAUAAAGUGGGAUCGGAGUGAUCUCCAUGGUGGAUGAAGAAAGUAAGGUCGAGAUAGUUCAGAAAGGCGAAGAGGUCGGAGGUGUGUGGAUGCGCCAAUGAAGAGGUCAUGGUGUGAGAGGUAAGUUGUAGCGGGAGUUAGAAGAGGUAGAAGUAGGCCCAAAAAGAUAAGCUAUGACAUAUUUUCAGUUGACUAAGGACACGACUUCAGAUAAUUAAGAAAGUAUGAAGGUCAAGAAAUAGGAUAGAAGGUUAGUAGAUAGUUGAGUACUGUCGUACUUCUAAUAGUAUGAUUUAGGUAUCACGUAGUUUCCUUUUUUCCGAUAUAUGUUUGUUAAGAUAUGUUUAUACACUUAUUUUUUACAUUGUUAUUCUGUUGUCUCUUUUUUUCCCUUACUUUCCAGCAUCCGUUACAUUAUAUUUGCUCCGAGGAUCUAUCGGAAAUAACCUUUCUACCUCGAAAAAUAGAGAUAAGGUCUAACGUAUACUCUACUCUUCUCAAAUUCCACAAUUAUACUAAAUAUGUUAUUGUACACGGUUAGCUUGGAUUUUUUUAAUUUUUUUUAACGCAAUGAGCUCUAUGUAAUAAGAUUCAGUACAGCGGCACUAAAAUUUAAUUUAGUAUCCUGGAGAAAUUAAAGUAAGUCGAUCCCCAGAGGACUCUAUUAACUUCCAAUCAUUAAACUUACUAUUUUUAAACUUCCAAUAAUUAUAAGUAACAACUCAAAAUGGGUAAGAAAAUAACUGCCAAUUUCUAGCUGUGAAAGUAAAUGAUACAAUUAUAGUUGAUUUUGAAGAAAGAAUUAUCGAGGCAUUAACCUCAUUUAUAAGGGGCAAUGAUGAAACCCUGUAAAUUGCUCAGUGUACCCGAUUACCUUUUUUUCUAUACAGAAAUGGCUCUGUACAGUGUUCAGCCAUAACUAAAUUAUAGAGGACCUCUCUGUAUGUGCACUCAAAUCUAUUCUUUUUUUCCUGUUAAUAAGGCAAGGACGAGGCGGAAACAGUGGCAAAGCUUGAAUUUUCACCAAGGGGUUCACAAGUGAACAUACGAACUAACGGAAGGUGGUUCGACAUCUAUUAUAUAUAUAAAAAAUAAUUUUAAUUAUGUAUAUAUAAUAUAAUUUUCCAUCGAAAGAUUAGGAUGAACCCCCUAUCCAAACUGUAGCUCCGACCCUGAGCGGAAAUGAAAUCUCUUUGCCUUUUGCCAUUUGAAUAGAAAAAAAUAGUAUGUUCAAAUCUCUUACGUGUCAGAAUAAAAAUCUCUCGUAAGAAUACUAUUAAAACUAAAAACGAUUUGUAAAGGGACAGAAAAUAAUUUUUCCCACAGAGGAGGUUCAAAUUUAAUGGCAGAAGAAGGAGGUUCGAAUUUCCCAAUCAACAGCGGCGGAUUCGAGAUUUCAACUAAGGGGUUCAAUGUUUAAAGAAAACCUAGCUAAUGAGAGUUCAACACUUACUAUAGAUACAUAAAAAAUGAUUUUAAUUAUGUAUAAAUUGUAUAUUUUUCUAUCGAUGAACCCUAGCCAAAGACUGGCUCCGCCCCGAGAAUCAGUAGUUUGUUAUUGGGCCAUGGCCAGUUCAAAUGAACUAUACAUAUUUGAUAAAACAUAUCACAAACCACAAUACUUUUUAAAUCCUGUAUUUAUUCCAAAUAGUGAAAUCGAUUUAAAAAAGAUUACAAUACUUUUUAAUUCCUGUAUUUUUUCUAAAUAGGGAGAGAUCAAAAAUACUACAAUAUAGUGCAACAACUUGAAUUUUAUAAGAGAUAUACCCAUUACUCCGCAAUUUCUCCCAAAUUCAAUUUUGUGUUAUUGAAUCACACCCAAAAGCUAACUAAUAAAAUGGGAGAGCCCAGACUAUAUCAAUCCCACAUCAACACUCCAUUUAAUUGACGUGGGAUUCAAGUCUCAUAUCUUGCAAAAGAGUAGUAAUUCUUGUCUCUUCUAUGUUUUUAUUAUUAUUUCCUUUUUGUCUCCAACAUCCCAACCUAACCCGUUCCAAUUUGAAAUCCAAAAAUUUGGGCAUAAAUGUUUUUAUUAGUGGCUUAAAGUCAAAUUUCAAUAAGAGGUCUUACAUAUAUAAACAUACAUAAAAAAAUACUACUCUAAUAAUUUAGUGUUGUUUUAUUUGUUCUUGCAUAAUAGUUGUUUCAAUGUUUUUAAAAGAUACUUAACCUUUAACUUCACAUAUUAAUAUGAUUAUUAUUAAUUCUUGUUAAUAAGGUGCUACUCAUUCGUUUGCAAUGCAUUAACUCGAAUGUUGUUAUUAAAACUUUAUUUAUUAAUAUAAAGUUUGAGUUGUUUAGUUCUAAGUUCUAAAAUAUUUCAUGUAAAAAUGAGAUAACUUUUUAUCUUUUUCAUUAUUAUUAUUUCUUAGAUAUUUUUUAAAAAUGAAUUUGAUAAUCUUCAUUAUUAUGUCAAGUGAAAUUGAAAAUAUAGAGUUUACUAUUAAAAAUUUUGAGGCCUCAAAAUUUUUUAAGCCUAAAGCAAAGACUUUAUUAGCAUUAUCCUUGAGCCACCCCUGCACGAGGAAAUUCAAGAGGAGAAACAUAGAUGGUGUUGUUGAAACCUGAGAUAUCACCCAAAAAAGAUCUCUUUCUUCUACAAUCCGAUUCAUAGUUCUUUUAACUUCCAAUGACGUUGCAUUAUCAAGCAAUCUUGUAUAUCCAGUGUAUAUCACAAAAUACAAGUUAUACUAUGAUAUACAUAUGUAUCUCAUAAAAUUCAAAGUGUAAUACACUGAAAUACAACAACAUACAAGUGUAUAAUGUUGUAUGCAUGUCAGUUGUAUGUAUGGCGUUUUGAGGUGAUGACCAUAAAAACGAAUACAUUGUAUUUCACUUGCGCACGGAUACUACUUUUUUUUCUUGCGGACAGAUACAUUGUAUAUGCUUGCGAGGAAUUUCACUAUAUUUCAAACAAAUUCACAAACUAUCACUACAUUUCAUAAGUUGGCCGAAUAUGUUUUACCACUUGCUAGUCUUGCUGUGCAUCAUAGAUAUGAUUUCCAAGGGGUGAACCAAAAGAUAUUUGCACAAUUAAUUAAAUCAUAUAUUAUAAUUUGAAGUAAAUUGCCUACACAGUCAUUCUUAUACAUCAUUAUAGUAUCAAAAUUCUAUAUGUUAAAACAUAAAUACAGAUUAAUCGAUCUGAGGAUUGUCAUUUUAACAAAGCGCACCUAUAUGUUGUAGAGUGAUGAAUUCAUUAUGGAAAAUACAAUUCAGAAGAAUAAAUUUGAAUGGCUAGAAUCAAUAAUCGAUUAAGCUAGUGGAAACGAUCUAAGUAAUAUAAUUAUCUUCGAAAUGACUUAAUUGCGUAAAUAUUACUAGUAAUUUUUAUAUGAUCAGUACAUAAAACUUAAUCUAAAUUCAUAUCAAACAAACUUGAGAAAAAAUCUCUUUUCCUCUCAAUCCAACUUGUUUCUCCAUCACUCACUUUCGUUCUUCCUCCUACUCUACCGUACCGCAAUUCAUCUCUAGUACUGAAACAUGGCAUGCACUACCAUAACACUUAGAAACUCAGAAAAAAAAAAAAAAAUAGAUCUAUCUCGUGUCUGAUUCUGCAUGGUUCCACUCUCCAGGAACCCCUAACGACUUGUCGUUUUAUUCAUAAUAAGAAUAAUAAUGACCUCUUCUUCUUCUCAACGACCCGGCGCAUUUGGCCCCAGCAACCUUCGCAAAACUGUAACGUGGUUGUUCAUCACCUUGUUAAUCAUCUAUCUUAUUUAUUCUUUUAAUCUAAUUAUCAAUAAAGAUUCCCCUCAAUGUACCAAUUCAUUGCCUUCCUCCUCAGAAUUACCCGCGAGAGAAUCAUUUUCCACGAAAUUACCUGAAACUCAACCUUCUAAUAAUUCCAAUAACUCAACUUCCCUUUCUCUUCAAGAAAAUCCAGGGGAACCUGGAACAGGCCUGAAACACAUUGUAUUCGGUAUAGCAGGGUCUACAAACUUGUGGGAUAAAAGAAAAGAGUACAUAAAAUUAUGGUGGAGGCCAGGGGAAAUGAGAGGUGUUGUAUGGUUAGAUAAAAAUGUUACAGUACAUAAAAAUGAAGGUUUGCCUGAAAUUCGAAUUUCAGAGAACACAACUAGGUUCUUGUACACGAAUCGACAGGGGAACAGAUCAGCUUUAAGGAUUUCCAGGGUUGUUUCUGAGACAAUAAGGUUGAAUCCUAAAAAUGUGAGAUGGUUCGUAAUGGGAGAUGAUGACACUGUGUUUAAUGUGGACAAUGUUGUUCGAGUUCUUUCUAAGUAUGAUCAUAAACAGUAUUAUUACAUUGGGAGUUCUUCAGAAAGCCAUAUUCAGAAUAUUUUUUUCUCAUAUUCUAUGGCUUAUGGUGGAGGUGGAUUUGCUAUUAGUUAUCCAUUGGCUAAAGAGUUGGAGAAGAUUCAAGAUCGUUGCAUUCAGCGAUAUCCUGGAUUAUACGGCAGUGAUGACAGAAUUCAAGCUUGUAUGGCUGAGCUUGGAGUCCCCCUCACACGUGAACCUGGAUUUCAUCAGGUAACCCUCCCUUAAAAAUGAGAUUAAUUAGUUGUCUGAUUUUAAAUCCGGAGUCACCUAAAAGAUAAUUGCACGUAACAGUUCUUAAGAAGGUGAGACAGGUACCGCAGAAAAUUUGGUCAGCGAUAUGUUACAACAGCCUCCCUACCUUGUGCGGUUACCACUAGAUAUGUCGUUGACCUGUUACAACAUGUUAAAAUACGUUAUGGUAAAAAUCUUGUUCAUAACCGAAGUUUCAUACAUUACUAGUGCUAUGCUACUACAUCAUAUAGUCCAAGAGCCAUGAAAACUGUUGCAAUUAUUACUACUAUCAUUUUACUGUACUUCUGCCUGGAUUUUGAUGAAUUUCUUCUUUGUGGUAGUAUAGUAUGAUGUGUAUGGGAACUUGCUAGGCCUAUUGGGAGCACAUCCUGUAACACCACUAGUAUCAAUUCACCAUCUUGAUGUAGUGGAUCCUAUAAUCCCAAGGAUGAGCAGAGUUGAUGGACUCCGACGCCUUUUUGAAUCAAUGAAGUACGACACUGCAAGCAUAAUGCAGCAGUCAAUCUGCUACGACAAGCAGAAAUACUGGUCUAUUUCAGUAUCGUGGGGAUACGUGGUUCAGAUCACGAGGGGUAAUAUCUCGCCAAGAGAACUAGAAAUGCCCACAAGAACAUUUCUUAACUGGUACAAAAGAGCUGAUUACACAGCCUAUGCUUUCAACACAAGGCCUGUGACAAAGCACCCGUGCCAGAAGCCUUUCAUAUACUACAUAAGUGCAGCCAAAUAUGAUCGAAACAAGAAUCAGAUCGUUGGGAUUUACCAUCGUCAUAGAGAGUCGUACCCUUAUUGCAGAUGGAAAAUUGAGUCACCUGAGAAUAUCAAUGCAGUUGUUGUGUUGAAAAGCCCAGAUAAUAACCGUUGGCAGUCGGUAAGUUUGUUCAAACAACUCCAUUUCUUACUAUUGAUCCGGAAAGGACUAUUAAUAAGUUGAUAUUUUUCUGUUUUUCAGGCAGCGAGAAGGGAUUGUUGUAAAGUUCUACCAUCAAACAACUCCUAUUUGUACAUUUCUGUAGGCAGUUGCAGAUCAGGCGAAACGAGUGAAAUGUAGCUAUUGGAAGGAGGCUAUAGUUUUUUCACUUCCUUCUAUUUUUUUGUAUCAAUAGAUUUGAUUAGUAAAGAAAGAAUCCAUAUACAAAAGUUGAGAAACACAAGAUUCAUUUGUAAUUUUGCAGAAAUGUUACUACUUCUAGAGUCUAGACUAAUAGUGGUUCUUUCUUUUCACUGCAAAGUUGUGUAAACCACAUGAAAAGCUAGUUUCUUAUUGAAGCAUGUCCAGCAAAUGCUCUCGAAAACACUAUCAAAAUUUAAAGCAUAGACACAAAAACAUGUAUUAUUUCAACAAUUUUUACCGGCUACAGUAAUUCAUUUUUCAACGCGAGAGAAUGAUCCAAAUGCAAUUCAAGCCAGAUAUUUCUUCCAUCUCAAUUCCUUCAGUUAUGUACAAGUUCACUGUCAAUCGCAUUACAUUAAGAGCAGCCAAACAUUGCUAUAAAAACUCUACUUUGUUUCCCCCCAAAUCCCCUAACGAAAAGUUAAAAGAUAACGACAGCUAAAUGAUGUAGUUAUCGAUGUAUCCUAGUUAUGAAAAUCAUACCUUGAACAGUUGAUAGUAGUUAUCAUUGAAGAAAUGUCAAAAUGCUAGUUUUUGGUUCGCCCAGGCUGUAUCUAUCUGAUAAAUAUGUGUGUUUAUAAGUGAAUUUGCAAUCUUAUGAAUAGCAAAAACUGUAACAUUAGGAACUAAGAAGGAUUGAUUAUUCCUUAGGAACAAAGGGAAUACAGAAAUGAAGUUAAUUAGUGACUUCUUAGUAUAGUUGCAAUCAUCAUUAGAAAGUACUUUAAAAUCUUUAUUUGCACGACCAAACAUUGCCCAUUAAUUCUAGUACUUUCCACUUACUAAAUAUGUUAGGAAAAAAAUAUGGUGAAACUCCAAGCAACUAUUUCUGAAUGAAUUCACCAUAAGAGACACCCAUUUACAGUGUCAUACAAGCAAAAAUAACAAACAAACAUCGGUUUUUUGAUGGUUCCUACAAUUAUAAUCAAGAUGGUUGUUGUUCGCGUAUAGAUGUAUGUGGUUGACAUAACUAUUCUUCCACUUCUUGUCUCAAAUCUCACUGUUCAAAAGCUCAAAGUUGAUCACCAUGUCAGUAGGGGGAAACUCAUAUCUGUGGAGAUCUCAAAAGGAACAAGUAAGAAAGCAUGCCUUCUUAUGAGUCCUAACUGUAAUGACAAUGUUUCAUGUAAUUUUCAAUAUGAUUCUGUUGGAGUCCCACAUCGGUGGGUUAAAGGGUCCUUGGGCAAUCCUCCCCUCAUGAGCUAGCUUUUGAGAUUGAGUUGAGCCCAAAGUCCUUUGCUUUAUCAGAUUCUUCCAUUCGUUCGUUAGCUUAGUUUAACAGAAAGCAGGAUGUUUCUUCCUUCUGUCAAGUGAAACUGCACGACUUGAUGCUAAAUUUUUCGUUUCUGGAAAUAACAUCAACAAAGUGUGCCAUUAACUCUCUAUUUGCUGACUGUCUAGAAGCUGCUUUUUCUUCAAUUUGGUUUCGCAAAAGGGUGUCUCUAUUGCAUAGCUACCAAACAUUUUAUACUGCACUGAAAUAGCUAGUAGAAAAUAUGUGUAUAUUGGCUUUUAAUUAGUUCUUGCUAACGCUUCUACGCUGAUUGAUUGUAUCAUUGAAGCGUAGAGCUUUUACAUACUAUAUUAUACCAUGCACUGGAGCUUGCAUCUGCAUUAGAUAUGCAAAAGAGGCUUUUUUUUUUUUUUUUUUAAUUACGUCCAAUCUAUGGUUUUUAAGCUGCAUCUGUAAUAUACAUAUGUGAUACAAGAAAGUUGACAACCAUUAACUUCUGUCUCUGUGAGUUCUUAUUUUAGUCCUCAAGCUCUGUUGUAUCAUUUCCAUCACCGUUACCAGGAAUCUUCAUCGUUUAUAGAUUUGUGAGAAGAUUGAUUUUUGUAUGACUUCCGGAUAGGAGGCUCGAUUUCAGGGUCAUACUUUAAGGAGGCAAGGUAGUUCAAAGCAGUGACGAUAUCAACAAUUGGAGGGCGUAUAGUAGGUUGCUCCUGGACACACAUUGCAGCAAUUGCAAGAGCUUGGUAUAAGCUCCUAAUUGGAUAGUGACCAUCAAGUGCUGGAUCUGCCAUCUUGUAGAACUUCUUCCUGUCUUUGAAUAAUGGUCUUGCCUGCAAAAGACAGUGGCUUUUGUUGAAUCUAUGAUUAAUUAGAUAAAAAUAGAGUCCCUAAACAGCUUAAGCUUUUAGAUAAAGCGGUCACACACUUUGACAUGGUACUAGAGCAGACAAAGGACGAGGUGGUCACACAAUUCAAUAACAUUUAUGCAAGUUCAAUAAGGCAGUCUAAGAUCACUCCUGACUAAUCUCAAAACUAGAAAAAGGUGCCAUAAUUGUUCAAGUGGGAUUUGCUUUAUUCAUGGUUGAGUUCCAAGUGAUAUCGGGUAAACAUCAUCUUUUCUUAAAAGAAAAAAAGCAGUUAAAUAAUGUCGUGUAAACCUCACUGUCAUAAUUCAUAAAUUAAUUCAUGAAAGACAACAAGAUUCGCUGUGGAUGUUGCACACACUUUUGUUACCUCUUUCAUGUCAACAAAAAUGUAGCAGUCAAUCAGAAGGCUUCAAAGACCUACUGUGUAGAUACUUCAAUGGUACAGACACAUAAUGCACAUCAGCCAGUGAAACACAAUGUCUUAACUUGAUAAUCAUGUCCAGAAAACUAGCAGGCAACAUUAGCUCAUACUUUCUGAAAUACACACUAUGUUUAUGCUUAACAAGUCUGUUAAACUGUGUUUCCCUAAUCACUGAUCAGAACCCUGAACUAGAAGCGCCUGCACAUCACCGUGACUAGUAUGCAUAGGCCAAGAUGCCAUUCAAGGAAAAGUACGGCAGUACCAUAUGAUUGAACCCAUGGAUGAAACUAAAAGGAAAAGAAAAUAGUGGAAAUAAAAGGUAAAAGGGUGACAUCUGCACUCAAAAAUUUUUUGUAAGCACUGAAUUCUGGUCGUUUGGUGUGAGGUAUAAGGGAGAAGUAGUCCCGGACAUAAAAUGAAAGAUUAUUCUAUCCCAUGUUUGGUUGGAGGUAUUUGUUAAUACCGGGAUAACUUAUCCCACCAUUUACACCAUAGCGAUGGGAUAAGUUAUCCCGGGUAAUCCCGGGAUAACUA